GUCCGACUUAAAAUCUCUCCUUUUCCACUCGUCUGCUAUCCGCCCCUCUCUCCAUCUGACCUUGGCUCACUCUCUUUCCGGUCCUAUCUCCCACUGUCUCUCAUUGUCUCUUCAACCUUCUCUCCCUAAGGUGCUAGUGCAUCUCCCACACCUCCUUGUCCGGCUAGUAGUGCUCCACCUAUUGUGGGGCCUAUACCAGUUAUACCGGUUGUUUUUGAGGUGCUCGCAUCGUCCAAUGCCUCGGUGACGCAUCCACAGUUAAGCAUACGUCGAACUCACCAACGACGUCGUGCAGUUGACCAUCCAUCUUGGAUUCCGUCGACAUCCAUAACUAAGGAAGAAGGAUCGUGAUGUGGGACAAGAUUGGGGUGAAUUUCUAUGAGGAUAUGUAAAGAAAAUGAAGCCCUUUAAAAUUAACAAAACUAAGAGACGCAACAUGAAGUAACAAAUUUGGCGUCUGAUUUCUGAUU